AGGAUAAUUAUUUUCAUUAUUAAUUGCAGAAAAAAUUUUGGAAUAUUAUUUUGGGACUCAAAGAGGGUUGUCACGUCAUUCUCUACUCUCCAUAUCAGCAUUUUAGUUUAAAGUACAAUUGUUAUUUCGUUUUUAUGAAUAUUGGACCAGAUUUUUAUUGUUAGGCCAAAUUUAGCUAUUAGGCCCAAUUUUGGUCUUUUUGGGGAGAGACCCAAAGUGUGGGCACAUUUGGGCACCUAGGGUUU
rnacentral:lncRNA from 1 species